AGUUAUAAGUACUCUCCCUCAGAGAUCUGUUCAUCUUCACCUGAAGAGCUGGAUUCAGGGUUUAGCGGUCGUCGCCCUGCUCUGACGCUUCCUCUUCCUCGCUGUGUGCUUGAAGGUGUAUUUCAGUAGCUACAACUGAAGAUGGCAACCCCAGUAAUCCGCGUCGUCAACCCCGAUGCCCCAGCAAAUCGCCAACAGGAGAAAAGGAUGCUCUUCCCCAAACCUCCACGGGAGCUACUCAACCAGGCCACUGCCCUGGUCCACGCAGAGCAGCUCCUCCAAGCAGAGGGUAUCCCCGCGCCGUCACGUCAGCUGUGCCUGGGAAAGCUAGUGGUGACAUUUGGCCAGUAUGAGAAUGCACCAUUCAGCUGGCUUAUGGCAAAUGAUGUGGUGAUGCUACAUGAAGUAAUCAGAGGUGACAAACCCACAUAGAAAGGGGGAGAUGGUGAACCAGUGGGUGAAAGACUACCUCUCAGAAUAUGCUGAGAGCUUCCCACAAGUCUCCUGUCUCCUUGAGGCCAACAUCGACAAGCGUGUCUACGGUCAGAGAGGGAUUGAGGAUCACACCUUUCAGGACAUAUGGGAAAUUUACAGCCAGUUCCAUGCCCAAAAAGAACGGCCAGAGCAAUUCACUGAUGAGCAGAGGGAGAUAAUACAGAAGGCAAACAGUUCUCUGUGGAGACCAAAUCAGCCUGAGGCAGCUGUCCAGCCCACAUCCACAACCAAGUGUCAUGCCAUGGAAUCACCUCUGAGCGACUCCCCUAUGUUUUGUAUGUGUGCUGCAGGUGGAGCUAGAGGGUUGGGUCCAUCUGUGGGAAAACCCCAACGGCAUCCCAUCUGCCGACAUUUCCUGGCUCAAAGAGGACACAGAAAGAGGACUUUAUACUUCCGUUGAAAUCUACAUGGACAACAUUUGUCUGUUCAAGAGGCCACGGGCGAUGAAAUCAGACCGCAUGUGGUUUUACCCACCAGAACCUCCCGGCUGUGUCAGGGGUGCUCUGCCAAUUCCACAGCUCUUUUUUCGGAGCCGCGUCUUUGUGUGGCGCCCUGUCGGAGUGUGGAGGUACUCUCUGAAGUGUCCUCGAGGUACGUCACAUCUGUGAUGUGUCCAGCUGGUACACGGUGCUCACUGAGGUCCUGUGCUGCGGACCAUGUACAGAGGCAGCCAGGAGCGAAGAAGGUGGCGCAAGAGUUGUGCAGAGGGAAGCUCUCUUGGAGGAGGUGGAGCCUGAAAUGUGUGUCUAAAUGCAGAGACCAUGCCUCCAGGCCCCACUGCAGUCAUGAGGAGUGUAGUGUACAGGUCCUUACGUUGAAGGUACUCCUCAACGUGAUUCCCCCGUAUCUGCCGCCACACCUUGACCACAGUAUUCCCUUCAGUUGGGUCCCUCAGAAGGCGCACAACAUUCUUAUCCACGCCACGUCUGUUGCCACUGUGCAGCACGGCCCUAUCAGGUUUACUUGAUAAGUGGCAUUGCACGGUGGAACUCGGAUGCCGUGUUUGGUGGUAAAGGACGGCACCACAGGACCUACUCAGCACCGCUGAUUGACCGCCUCAACGCCCGCUGCCGGCAGCUGUUUAAAGAGACUGUGGAGGAGAAUUUCCAGGCCCCUGAAGUUGUCCCUUCCAACGAGCUGCUCGGGUUGGAGUACCUGUUCAGCCAGAGCACAGCUGAAUCUGGAACCUUCUCUCUUAGGGACAACGAUGGACCUGGUCCAGAGGAGGAGGUGGUUCAGCCUGGGCAGCCCGAUCCGGAUCCAGAGGCAGACGAGGCGUACCUGAGUGACAUGACGAUGUUCUGGAUGCCCUCCUGCACCACAUUAUGCUCAGCAGCGAUGAAACCUCUACAGUUCACCCUCCAGCCUUAGAGGAUGCCUGCAGUCCAAACCCUCUUCCUGGCUUUCAAAAGCUGGAAAUGUUCUGCUCUGUGCUGGUGGAGAUUGGCCUGAGAGUGGACAAGGUGUCACUUACCACUGAGCAGAGGAACAAGGUCCUUGAAGUCUGGAAUGCAAUGGAGGAGCAUGACAAGCAGCCGCAGCUGUCAGAACACAAUGGGGCAAGACCCUCUACUGCCGCACAAAAAGGGAGGAUCUUGUCGAUGCUGCUGUGAUACAGAGGGUAAAAGUAGCCAUGCGCUACGCACCGGCACAACAGGCUCAGGACAACAGACUGAUGUACACACUGAUAAAGCUGCUGUGGCUUCGCUCACCUCAAGGGUCUUGCAGCGGUCCUGAGAAAAGCGCUAUCUUGAGGGCGUAUAGGCGAGUCCAGCACCGGAUUACGGUGGAGGAUCCAGUCCUGUGCAAAGCAGGCGUUCCUCUUCAAAGAAUCACCAUCAAGACUGUGCAGGACUUCAUCCGUCGCCAAGAGAGGCUCCUCAAACUGCAUGCCACAAAACAGCCGUCCACUCGCACAAAGAUCGCCUCCAUUUCAUCUGCAGACCUACCUCCAGCACCACACCAGCCAGCAGUCCUUCCUCCACCACUCUACCUCCAGAUAGGGUAUUUACAUGCACCCAGCACGGCAGGUACAAAGGUGUUAAAGGGAAGGACAGACAUAAGCAUGCCACUAACCCAGCCUCAACCACCACUGCCACCUGUGCUUCUGCCAGUGAGGGAAAUUCCUGCCGCCUCUACCAUCACCAGACCAGUGCCCUCCCUCUCUGCAUCCACAGCAAGCCCUAGGAUUGCUGGCCCUUCCACACGACCCAUAAGGCCUGCCACCUCCGCACGACCCAUAAGGCCUGCCACCUCCAAACUGUCACAGGUGCAAAAGCUCCCCGUCUGUACACUGUGUGGCCAACCAACCCAGGGACAUAAAAAAUACAAAAAAAAAGACUUUGUGCCCAAUAAAAAUGAUGUCGACAUCAAAAGGUCUGGACAAGAGAGUGUACGGUAGCUACGAACACUUCACCUUUGUUGUUGACCAGUUGGAGGAAUGAGCAAAUAUUAUGUUCUUAUAAAUCUGUUAAUGAGGUACGGUUGCAUUGUACAAAUUGUAAAUAGUUUUCAUUUUUAUUACAUUUCACUUUUAAUCAUACUCAAUGGUACAUUUUCAGUCUAAACCGCUGUGGUGUUGUUUGCAAUUGAUCCAAUAAGUCUAGAGGAAAGAUUCUUUAUUUGUAAAUUAUUGCAUCUCAUUGGACAAAUUAAUAGUCCUAAUUUUCAUGUAUAUAUUGUAAAUAGUCUUCAUUUUCGAAAAAUUUGAUUUGUAAUCUUGUUAAUUGAUAGCUUAUCUACA